CCCCACUGCUAUCGAGGUGGGACUAAGCCAUGCUAGUCGAACGACCCGGACUAUGGCGGGGAGUGGCAGACUGCUCAGUAACACGUAGCUAACCUACCCUCGGGACGGGGAUAACCCCGGGAAACUGGGGCUAAUACCCGAUAGGUGUGGAUUCCUGGAAUGGUGCCAUGCCUAAACGUAAGCACAUCCAUGUUUGUGUGCACGCCCGGGGAUGGGGCUGCGGCCGAUCAGGCAGUUGGUGAGGUAACGGCUCACCAAACCUUUGACCGGUACGGGCCAUGAGAGUGGUAGCCCGGAGAUGGGCACUGAGACAAGGGCCCAGGCCCUACGGGGCGCAGCAGGCGCGAAACCUCCACAAUUCACGAAAGUGAGAUGGGGUUACCUCGAGUGCCGUCUGAAGAAGGCGGCUUUUCCAUGGUGUAACAAGCCGUGGGAAUAAGGGGGGGGCAAGACUGGUGUCAGCCGCCGCGGUAACACCAGCCCCCCGAGUGGUGGGGAUGAUUAUUUGGCCUAAAGCGUCCGUAGCCGGCUUUGUAAAUCUCUCGUUAAAUCCAGCGUCCUAAGCGUUGGGCUGCGAGAGACACUGCAGAGCUAGAGGGUGGGAGAGGUCAGCGGUAUUCCUGGGGUAGGGGCGAAAUCCAUUGAUCCCAGGAGGACCACCAGUGGCGAAGGCUGCUGUCCAGAACACGCCUGACGGUCAGGGACGAAAGCUGGGGUAGCGAAUCGGAUUAGAUACCCGAGUAGUCCCAGCCGUAAACGAUGCAGGCUAGGUGUUGGGUCGGCCACGCGCCGCCUCAGUGCCACAGGGAAGCCAUUAAGCCUGCCGCCUGGGGAGUACGGCCGCAAGGCUGAAACUUAAAGGAAUUGGCGGGGGAGCACCACCAGGCGUGAAGCCUGCGGUUU
rnacentral:rRNA from 1 species